GACGCUCGACAGGCACGAGGUGCCCUCGAGACCACGCCGUCGCAACGACGUGGCCGACAGGGAGAAUCUGGGAAGCCGGUGAGAUUCCGGCACAGGGCCCGCUGCGGUGACCUGGACGACCCUUGCGGGUGGAUCCAGGAAGUCCGAAGACCGGCCUCGCGCCACAUCGUUGAU
rnacentral:ncRNA from 1 species